rnacentral:rRNA from 1 species
GAGCUUGCUCUUAUGGAUGAGUUGCGAACGGGUGAGUAACACGUGGGGAACCUACCUUCUAGCGGGGGAUAACACAUAGAAAUGUGUGCUAAUACCGCAUAAUAGUAUUUGAUGCAUAUCAGAUACUUGAAAGGCGCAAUUGCGUCACUAGAAGAUGGCCCCGCGGUGCAUUAGCUAGUUGGUGAGGUAACGGCUCACCAAGGCAAUGAUGCAUAGCCGACCUGAGAGGGUGAUCGGCCACACUGGGACUGAGACACGGCCCAGACUCCUACGGGAGGCAGCAGUAGGGAAUCUUCGGCAAUAGACGCAAGUCUGACCGAGCAACGCCGCGUGAGUGAAGAAGGUUUUCGGAUCGUAAAACUCUGUUGUAAGAGAAGAACGUUGAUGAGAGUGGAAAGUUCAUCAAGUGACGGUAUCUUACCAGAAAGCCACGGCUAACUACGUGCCAGCAGCCGCGGUAAUACGUAGGUGGCAAGCGUUGUCCGGAUUUAUUGGGCGUAAAGCGAGCGCAGGCGGUUGAUUAAGUCUGAUGUGAAAGCCCCCGGCUCAACCGGGGAGGGUCAUUGGAAACUGGUCAACUUGAGUGCAGAAGAGGAGAGUGGAAUUCCAUGUGUAGCGGUGAAAUGCGUAGAUAUAUGGAGGAACACCAGUGGCGAAGGCGGCUCUCUGGUCUGUAACUGACGCUGAGGCUCGAAAGCGUGGGAGCGAACAGGAUUAGAUACCCUGGUAGUCCAC